GCGACUCUGGUCUCGUGAUCUAACUCGAGGCCUGAAGUGAGGGCCCAUGCGACAAGGCGGCUCAAGUGCAGGGUCAGGGUUCGAGGCAGGCUUAGGUUUCGGUGGAGGGUCCCGGUUCGGUGUAGGGUUAGGGUUAGGGUUAGGUCCCAGGAGGCUCCAGGCGCCGAACGCACAGCAGGGCAGGAGUCUCCCCGAAGGGCUGAGUUGAGGGCACAAGGGAGGCUGCCGGUCAGGAUCAGUCUUGGGCUGCCAAGGCCACACAUGUCAAUGGGCCCCUGGUCGAGGAGGCCUCCGGUAUCCUCUCGGG